rnacentral:ncRNA from 2 species
AGAGUAGAUUAGACGCGUCAAGUGUUAAUGGAUGGGAGGUCGCCAUUAAACGAAGACAAUAGUCGCGGUGUCUAAUCGCAGCCGCU